rnacentral:rRNA from 1 species
UAGAGUUUGAUCCAUGGCUCAGGAUGAACGCUGGCGGCGUGCUUAACACAUGCAAGUCGAACGAUGAAGCCCAGCUUGCUGGGUGGAUUAGUGGCGAACGGGUGAGUAACACGUGAGUAACCUGCCCUUGACUCUGGGAUAAGCCUGGGAAACUGGGUCUAAUACCGGAUAGGAACGUCCACCGCAUGGUGGUUGUUGGAAAGAUUUAUCGGUCAUGGAUGGACUCGCGGCCUAUCAGCUUGUUGGUGAGGUAAUGGCUCACCAAGGCGACGACGGGUAGCCGGCCUGAGAGGGUGACCGGCCACACUGGGACUGAGACACGGCCCAGACUCCUACGGGAGGCAGCAGUGGGGAAUAUUGCACAAUGGGCGAAAGCCUGAUGCAGCGACGCCGCGUGAGGGAUGACGGCCUUCGGGUUGUAAACCUCUUUCAGUAGGGAAGAAGCGAAAGUGACGGUACC